CUGGAAAAACUGUUACAGUGCAAAAAAUAUCAUAAACUUUUGAUUAAAGAUAGUUACAAUUUUGACUAAUUAUCUGCCUAACAAAUUAGGAAUUAAGGGUAAAAGGAAGAAUGAUUAAGUUACACUGCACCUGGAAAAUAUUGUGUCAACCAAAUGGCAUUAUAAGAGUAACUUUCAGAAAGCAAUAUUGGUCGUGCAGGUGGAUCGUAUGACGACUGUGUCAACAUCCAUGGAACUUUAUCAAGAUACCACUUCAAAUUUAUAAUAACAACGAAGUAACAAAUGUCAGGCGUGAAAUCACUUGAUUUGUUUUUAUCAAAAACAGUUUAUAAUUGGAAUAUGUCGUGUCCUUCAAUUUUGCAGUGGUUAAGCAUGCGGAAUGAAUGUCUUUGUGGAACGAGUCAAGUUUGGUAGGUAAUAAAGCGAAAUUAGCAAAAACAAAACAAAACAAAAUACUAAAGCACACGAAAAUGCACCAACAUAAUAACAUGCUUUGGAUUUGAUUCACGUAUCUUUUUCAUUGUUCCUGAAACAUUAAUCUCCCAGAGGCCUGAGUUGUCGCUUCGUCAAAAGAGAAAAAGUGGGUUAAUCACCUUUUGACGGCAGGUCAUGUCGGUGACAAUGUUGGGGACACGUGGUGCGUGCCCACUGGGUGGUGCCAAAGUCGUGCGACACGGUUUAACGAGCAUAAUUUUGGUUCCACAACGUGUCGUGAACUCAACGGUGUUUGACGGUAGUUUUAAGUUUGCGAAGCCGUUGGUUUUGUUUGCAUCAAACGACUGCGUUUGACUCAAAAUCCCGUUUUGUCUCUUCGUUGCCCUAAUUAUAGUUCGGACACAUGGACGAAGACAUUUGUUGAUUUGCGAUUUUCCUAUGAUGAUGCUCCACAUGUCUAAUUUACGAGUUUGAUUCAUCUUUUAAUUAUACCAAACGACACGUAAUGACAAAAUCCAAUGAAGAAAGAAAAGGUGAAAGCGAUUUGUCUUUAACAUGUUUCUUCCCUCCUUCUUCGAUGUUUCGUGUAGAGGACAUUUAACUCUUGAACAGCUCUGUUAUAACCUUCAAGAUAUGCCAACGAUAUUCUUUACAGCGAUUGAGGCAAAUUUCUUCUCUUUAACCAUGCUAACGUGCAAGAUGACGCAGGAUUUAUUUAUUUCUAUUAUUAAGAUUAUAUGAAUGUAUUAACAAAAUAAUAGAAUUUUAUUUUUGCCUAAUAUAUAAUCAACCAGUC
rnacentral:lncRNA from 1 species